rnacentral:lncRNA from 1 species
ACAGUAUAACUUUAUAAUGAGUAUUUUUUCUCAUUCUAUCGAACAAAGAGUAAACCUAAUUAUAUUGUUCUAUUAUGCCCCGAGAGAGUAAAUUUGGAACGAAUCGAUGUCAACGUUCACAAGAACCAAAACCGGAACAACAUUAGACUACUCAAUUGCACCCUAAGAGUAUAACUUUGCAAUAAGUACUUUUUCUCAUUCUAUCGAACAAAGAGUUUAAAGCUAAUUAUAUUGUUCUAUUAUGCCCCAAGAGCUGUAAUUUCGAGCUAAUCGAUGCCAACGUUCACAAGAACCAAAACCGGAACAACAUUAGGCUACUCAGUUGCGCCAUAACAGUAUAACUUUGUAAUGAGUACUUUUUCUUAUUCUAUCGAACAAAGAGUAAAACCUAAUUAUAUUGUUCUAAUAUGUCCCGAGAGUGUAAAUUUGGAACGAAUCGAUGUCAACCUUCACAAGAACCAAAAUCCGAACAACAUUAGACUACUCAGUUGCGCCCUAACAGUAUAACUUUGCAAAGAGUACUUUUUCUGAUUCAAUCGAACAAAGUGUAAAAACUAAUUUUUUUAUUCUAUUAUGCCCCAAGAGUGUAAAUUUGGAAAGAAUCGCUGUCAACGCUCACAAGAACCAAAACCCGAACAACAUUAGACAACUCAGUUGCGCCCUAACAUUAUAAAUUUGCAACGAGUGUUUUUUAUCAUUCUAUCGAACAAAGAGUAAAACGUAAUUAUAUUGUUCUAUUAUGUCCUUAGAGUGUAAAUUUGGAACGAAUCGAUGUCAACCUUCACAAGAACCAAAACCGGAACAACAUUAGAUUACUCAAUUACGCCCUAACAGUAUAACGUUGCAACGGGUACUUUUUCUCAUUCUAUCAAACAAAGAGUAAAAGCUAAUUAUAUUGUUCAAUUAUGCCCCGAGAGUUGUAAUUUCGAACGAAUAGAUGUCAACGUUCACAAGAACCAAAACCGGAACAACAUUAGGCAACUAAGUUGCGCCCUAACAGUAUAACUUUGUAAUGAAAACUUUUUCUCAUUCUAUCGAACAAAUAGAAAAACCUAAUUAUAUUGUGCUAUUAUGCCCCGAGAGAGUAAAUUUGGAACGAAUCGAUGUCAAUGUUCACAAGAACCAAAAUCGGAACAACAUUAGACUACUCGGUCGCGCCUUAAUAGUAUAACUUUGCACCGAGUAAUUUUUCUCAUUCUAUCGAACAAAGAGUAAAAGAUAAUUAUAUUGUUCAAUUAUGCCCCGAGAGUUGUAAUUUCGAACAAAUCGAUGUCAACGUUCACGAGAACCAAAACCGGAACAACAUUAGACUACUCAGUUGCGCCCUAACAGUAUAAUUUUGCAAGCAGUACUUUUUCUCAUUCUAUCGAAAAAAGAGUAAAACGUAAUUAUAUUGUUCUACUAUACCUCGAGAGAGUAAAUUUGGAACAAAUCGAUGUCAACGUUCACAAGAACCAAAACCGGAACAACAUUAGAAUACUCAGUUGCGCCCUAACAGUAUAACGUUGCUACGAGUACUUUUUCUCAUUCUAUCGAACAAAGUGUAAAAGCUAAUUAUAUUAUUCAAUUAUGCCCCGAGAGUUGUAAUUUCGAACGAAUCGUUGCCAACAUUUACAAGAACCAAAACCGGAAUAACAUUAGGCUACUCAGUUGCACCCUAAUAGUAUAACUUUGUAAUGAGUCAUUUUUUUCAUUCUAUCGAACCAAGAGUAAAACCUAAUUAUAUUGUUCUAUUUUGUCCCGAGAGUGUAAAUUUGGAACGAGUCGAUGUCAACCUUCGCAAGAACCAAAACCGGAACAACAUUAUACUACUCAGUUGCGUCGUAACAGUAUAACUUUGCGAGGUGUACUUUUUCUCAUUCAAUCGAACAAAGUGUAAAAGCAAUUAUUUUAUUCUAUUAUGUCCCGAGAGUGUAAAUUUGGAACGAAUCGAUGUCAACGCUAACAAGAACCAAAAUCGGAACAACAUUAGACUAUUCAGUUGUGCCCUAACAGUAUAACUUUGUAACGAGUACUUUUUCUCAUUCUAUCGAACAAAGAGUAAAAGCUAAUUAUGUUGUUCAAUUAUUCCACGAGAGUUGUAAUUACGAACGAAUUGAUGUCAACGUUUACAAGAACCAAAACCGGAACAACAUUAGGCUGCUCAGUUUCGCCCAAACAGUAUAACUUUGCAAUAAGUACUUUUUCUCAUCCUAUCGAACAAAGAGUAAAACCUAAUUAUAUUGUUCUAUUAUGCCCUGAGAGCGUAAAUUUGGAACGAAUCGAUGUCAAUGCUCACAAGAACCAAAACCGGAACAACAUUAGACAAUUCAGUUGCGCCGGAACAGUAUAACUUUGCAACGAAUACUUUUUCUCAUUCUAUCGAACAAAGAGUUAAAAUCUAAUUAUAUUGUUCUAUUCCGCCCCGAGAGUUGUAAUUUCGAGCGAAUCGAGGUCAACGUUCACAAGAACCAAAACCGGAACAACAUUAGACUACUCAGUUGCGCCAUAACAGUAUAACUUUGUAAUGAGUACUUUUUCUAAUUCUAUCGAAGAAAGAGUAAAACCUAAUUAUAUUGUUCUAUUAUGUCCCGAGAGUGUAAAUUUGGAACGAAUCGAUGUCAACCAUCACAAGUACCAAAACCGGAACAAUAUUAAACUACACAGUUGCGCCGUAACAGUAUAACUUUGCAAGGUGUACUUUUUCUCAUUCAAUCGAACAAACUAUAAAAGCUAAUUAUUUUAUUCUAUUAUGCCCCGAGAGUGUAAAUUUGGAACGAAUCGAUGUCAACGCUCACAAGAACCAAAACCGGAACAAUAUAAGACUACUCAGUUGCUGGUUUGCACCUCUUUUUGCCACUACUUCGCGCCGAACGAUGUCAAAACUAUUCCAACACCUUUGGAACUUAUUUUUGCUCUGCCAAACUUGUUGGAAUGCCGAUUGGAACUUGUCCAAACCAUUCGAUUGCUCACUUUGGUCUAUUUGGCCAAAGUUAGCCAAAUUCCAUCGAGUUCAAUAUCUCACAGGAACAACAUUAGACUACUCAGUUGCGCCCUAACAGUAUAACGUUGCAACGAAAACUUUUUCUCAUUCUAUCGAACAAAGAGUAAAACCUAAUUAUAUUGUUCAAUUAUGCCCCGAGAGUUGUAAUUUCGAACGAAUCAAUGUCAACGUUCAUAAAAACCAAAACCGGAAAAACAUUAGUCCACACAGUUGCGCCCUAACAAUAUAACUUUGUAAUGAGUACUUUUUCUCAUUCUAUCGAACAGAGAGUAAAACCUAAUUAUAUUGUUCUAUUAUGUCCCGAGAGUGUAAAUUUGGAACGAAUCGAUGUCAACCUUCACAAGAACCAAAAUCGGAACAAUAUUAGACUACUCAGUUGCGCCAUAACAGUAUAACUUUGCAAUAAGUACUUUUUCUCAUUCUAUUGAACAAAGAGUAAAACCUAAUUAUAUUGUAUUAUUAUGCCCCGAGAGAGUAAAUUUGGAACGAAUCGAUGUCAACGUUCACAAAAACCAAAACCGGAACAAUAUUAGAUUACUCAGUUGCGCCUUAAUAGUAUAACUUUGCACCGAGUACUUUUUCUCAUUUUAUCGAACAAAGAGUAAAAGCUAAUUAUAUUGUUCUAUUAUGCCCCGAGAGUUGUAAUUUCUAACGAAUCGAUGUCAACGUUCACAAUAACCACACCGGAACAACAUUAGACUAUUCAGUUGCGCCCUAACAGUAUAACUUUGCAAGGAGUAUUUUUUCUCAUUCUAUCGAACAAAGAGUAUAACCUAAUUAUAUUGUUGUACUAUGCCCCGAGAGAGUAAAUUUGGAACGAAUCGAUGUCAACGUUCACAAGAACCAAAACCGGAACAACAUUAGGCUACUCAGUUGCGCCCUAACUGUAUAACUUUGUAAUAAGUACUUUUUCUCAUUCGAUCGAACAAAGAGUAAAACCUAAUUAUAUUGUUCUAUUAUGUCCCGAUAGUGUAAAUUUGAAACGAAUCGAUGUCAACCCUCACAAGAACCAAAAUCGGAAAAAUAUUAGACUACUCAGUUGCGCCGUAACAGUAUAACUUUGCAAUGAGUACUUUUUCUCAUUCAAUCGAAUAAAAUGUAAAAGCUAAUUAUUUUAUUCUAUUAUGGCCCGAGAGUGUAAAUUUGGAACGAAUCGAUGUCAACACUCACAAGAAUCAAUACCGCAACAACAUUAGACUACUUUGUUCCGCCCUAGCAGUAUAACUUUGCAACGAGUACUUUUUCUCAUUCUAUCGAACAAAGAUUAAAACAUAAUUAUAUUGUUCUAUUAUGUCGCGAGAGUGUAAAUUUGGAACGAAUCGAUGUAAACGUUCACAUGAACCAAAACCGGAACAACAUUAUCCUGCUCAGUUGCGCCCUAACAGUAUAACUUUGCAAUGAGUACUUUUUCUCAUUCUAUCGAACAAAGAGUAAAACCUAAUUAUAUUGUUCUAUUAUGCCCCGAGAGCAUAAAUUUGGAACGAAUCGAUGUCAACGUUCACAAAAAACCAAAACUGGAACAAUAUUAGACUACUCAGUUGCGCCAUAACAAUAUAACUUUGCAACGAGUACUUUAUCUCUUUUUAUCGAACAAAGAGUUAAAAUCUAAUUAUAUUGUUCUAUUAUGCCCCGAGAUUUGUAAUUUCGAGCGAAUCGAUGUCAACGGUCACAUGAACGAAAACCGGAACAACAUUAGACUACUCAGUUGCGCCCUAACAGUAUAACUUUGCAAUGAGUACUUUUUCUUAUUCUAUCGAAUAAAGAGUAAAACCUAAUUAUAUAGUUCUAUUAUUUCCCGAGAGAGUAAAUUUGGAAGGAAUCGUUGUCAACCUUCACAAGAACCAAAACCGGAACAACAUUAGACUACUCAGUUGCGCCCUAGCAGUAUAACUUUCUAAUGAGUACUUUUUCUCAUUCAAUCGAACAAAGUGUAAAAGCUAAUUAUUUUAUUCUAUUAUGCCCCGAGAGUGUAAAUUUGGAACGAAUCGAUGUCAACCUUCACAAGAACCAAGACCGAAACAAUAUUAGACUACUCAGUUGCGCCCUAACAGUAUAACUUUGUAGGGAGUACUUUUUCUCAUUCAAUCGAACAAAGUGUAAAAGCUAAUUAUAUUGUUCAAUUAUGCCCUGAGAGUUUUAAUUUCGAACGAAUCGAUGUCAACGUUCACAAUAACCAAAAUCGGAACAACAUUAGGCUACUUAGUUGCGCCCUAACAGUAUAACUUUGCAACGAGUACUUUUUCUCAUUCUAUCGAACAAGGAGUAAAAGCUAAUUAUAUUAU